AGCUCAAUGGCGAGGCGAAGCUCGCCAUCGCGAGUUUACCUCGCGGUGUCGGUUUCCGGAACCGCGAGGUAAACUCGCGCUAAACCGAAGGUUGCGGGUUCGACUCCCGCCGAGG
rnacentral:tRNA from 1 species